rnacentral:lncRNA from 1 species
CUUGUAUACAAACUUGGGUAAAACCAUAUAAUCAAGUAGCCACAAUAACACACACACACACACACAUUAUCUUCAAUCAAUGAAAAUUGGUACCCACGAAAUUAAAUGAAUCCACAGUAGAAAACAGUUUCUUUUGAGAACCAUCUUUAUAAACACAUCAUUUUGGUGUAAGUUGUAAAUUAUGUGAAAUUCUUGGAACAAAAACAAGUAUCAAGUAAAAUUUCAUGUUCUAACAUUAGAUAACAGCUAGAUAUUGUAAAAAUAUACAUUUCAUAUAAUCGUUCAUUAUAAUGAAAGUAUGCAAGGUGUUUCUUUCAAAUCAGGAAUGAUAAUUUAUUCUAUGCAAAUCAUAUUUCUGAAGUCAAAAUAUGUUGGUGCAAUUUGACAAAAUAGUAUAAAUAUAAAUAUUUGUAUAGUGCAUGCUUUAGAUCUUAGUUCAGUUCAAUGGUAUUUUAGCAUUU